rnacentral:rRNA from 1 species
UACGUAGGUGGCGAGCGUUGUCCGGAUUUACUGGGCGUAAAGAGCGCGCAGGCGGUCGUACAAGUCGCGUGUGAAAGCCCCUGGCUCAACUGGGGAGGGUCACGCGAUACUGUUCGACUCGAAGGCAGGAGAGGGAAGUGGAAUUCCCGGUGUAGUGGUGAAAUGCGCAGAUAUCGGGAAGAACACCUAUGGCGAAGGCAGCUCUCUGGGACGGUACUGACGCUGAGACGCGAAAGCGUGGGGAGCGAACAGG